rnacentral:misc_RNA from 1 species
UUAAGUUCAGCGGGUAUUCCUACCUGAUCCGAGGUCAAACCUAGAAGAGUUGGGGGUUUUACGGCAGGGCGCCGGACACCUACAAAAGCGAGAAGAAAAUUACUACGCUCAGAGUGUGUCUCGACUCCGCCAAUACCUUUGAGGAGCUGCGAGUUACCGCAGGCUCCCAACGCUAAGCAACAGGGCUUAAGGGUUUGAAA